rnacentral:ncRNA from 1 species
CCCUCAAACGUGCAGGCCCAAUGCAAAACUGAGGUGCAGAAGAGAACUAAGGUGUGCAGAAGACUCAGAUUACUCUUUUUAGAAACUCAGAUUACAAUUUGCUAUCAAAUGAACUAAGGCGCGCGCGAGAAGAGAAUGAAAAGGUCGGGCCAUUUUUGGUAAGCAGAACUGGUGAUGCGGGAUGAACAGGAAGCCGGGUUACGGUGCCCAAUUGUGCACUAAACUAGACCCCACAAAGGGUGUUGGUCGAUUAAGACAAAAGGACGGUGGUCAUGGAAGUCGAAAUCCGCUAAGGAGUGUGUAACAAAUCACCUGUCGAAUCAAUUAGCCUUGAAAAUGGAUGGCGCUAAAGCACUCGACCUAUACCCGGCGUCGAGGCAAGAGCCAAGCCUCGAUGAGUAGGAGGGCGGUCGCUGUAAAACCCGGGGCAUGAGCCCGGGCAGAGCGUUCGUCGUG